AUUGAACGCGGGCGGCAGGCCUAACACAUGCAAGUCGAACGAGGGGCGGACGGGGGAGUAAUGUCUGGGAAACUGCAUGAUGGAGGGGGAUAACUACUGGAAACGGUAGCUAAUACCGCAUACCAUCAGAUGUGCCCAGAUUGGAUUAGCUAGUUGGUGGGGUAACGGCUCACCAAGGCGACGAUCCCUAGCUGGUCUGAGAGGAUGACAAGCCACACUGGAACUGGGACACUGUCCAGCCCCCUACGGGAGGCAGCAGUGUGGAAGAUUGCACAAUGGGCGCAAGCCUGAUGCAGCCAUGCCGCGUGUAUGAAGAAGGCCUUCGGGUUGUAAAGUACUUUCAGCGGGGAGGCGUUACCCGCAGAAGAAGCACCGGCUAACUCCGUGCCAGCAGCCGCGGUAAUUC
rnacentral:rRNA from 1 species